CAGCCGCGGUAAUUCCAGCUCCAAUAGCGUAUAUUAAAGUUGUUGCAGUUAAAAAGCUCGUAGUUGAAUUUCGGGGUCAGUAGGUUGGUCGUGCCACCGGUACGUACUGGUCUCACUGAUUCCUCCUUCCUGAAGAACCGUAAUGCCAUUAAUUUGGUGUUGCGGGGAAACAGGACUGUUACUUUGAAAAAAUUAGAGUGUUUAAAGCAAGCUAACGCUUGAAUACAUUAGCAUGGAAUAAUGAAAUAGGACGAUCGAUCCUAUUUUGUUGGUUCUAGGAUUGACGUAAUGAUUAAUAGGGAUAGUUGGGGGCAUUAGUAUUCAAUUGUCAGAGGUGAAAUUCUGGAUUUAUUGAGACUACUACUGCGAAAGCAUUUGCCAAGGUAUGUUUUUCAUUAAUUCAAGUAACGAAAAUUUAGGGGAUUCGAAGACGAUACCAGAUACCGUCGUAGUCUUAACCCCAUAAACUAUGCCGACUAGGGGAUCGGAUGAUGUUAAUUUUUAUAAUGACUCAUUUGGCACCUUACGGGAAAC
rnacentral:rRNA from 1 species